rnacentral:rRNA from 1 species
GUGGGGAAUAUUGGACAAUGGGCGAAAGCCUGAUCCAGCCAUGCCGCGUGUGUGAAGAAGGUCUUCGGAUUGUAAAGCACUUUAAGUUGGGAGGAAGGGCAGUAAGUUAAUACCUUGCUGUUUUGACGUUACCGACAGAAUAAGCACCGGCUAACUUCGUGCCAGCAGCCGCGGUAAUACGAAGGGUGCAAGCGUUAAUCGGAAUUACUGGGCGUAAAGCGCGCGUAGGUGGUUUUGUAAGUUGGAGGUGAAAUCCCCGGGCUCAACCUGGGAACUGCCUGCAAAACUGCAUGACUAGAGUACGGUAGAGGGUAGUGGAAUUUCCUGUGUAGCGGUGAAAUGCGUAGAUAUAGGAAGGAACACCAGUGGCGAAGGCGACUACCUGGACUGAUACUGACACUGAGGUGCGAAAGCGUGGGGAGCAAACAGGAUUAGAUACCCUAGUAGUCC